GCGCCAGUAGCUCAGCUUGGACAGAGCGACAGGUUCCUAACCUGUAGGUCCGGAGUUCGAAAACCUUAAUGGUUCGAAAGUCUUCGCUGGCGCG
rnacentral:tRNA from 2 species